GCUGGAGGAUUAAGGAGUACAAGCGUUAUCAGACACCAGGAGGAAGGUCCUGUGAUCAGCAAGUUGAGACAGCAGCUGCUGCCAGCAAGCUCCCUCUGUCCUGAGCCCUGUGGUGUCACCCCCUGUGCUGUGGAGAUGGCCCAAUGGGAGAGAUCAACAGAGAGAAUUCCUGGGACCCUCUUCGGCGUGUCUGAUGGCCACAAGGCAACACCGUGCCCACAUCACGCAGCAGGCAUCAGACAACGCGGCUGCCGUAUUCACUACCAACUUAUGCAACCAACCGUGGGUCGUGUAUUUCAGCAGCUCCAACCCCAAGUGCUGCCCAGCCACCGAGGGGACACAGUAGCUCCCGGGGAGGGGAACGAAGAAGCCUAGGUGAGGGAGAAGGGAACUGUUUGGAC